GAUGAACGCUGGCGGCGUGCCUAAUACAUGCAAGUCGAGCGAACAGACGAGGAGCUUGCUCCUCUGACGUUAGCGGCGGACGGGUGAGUAACACGUGGAUAGCCUACCUAUAAGACUGGGAUAACUUCGGGAAACCGGAGCUAAUACCGGAUAAUAUAUUGAACCGCAUGGUUCAAUAGUGAAAGACGGUUUUGCUGUCACUUAUAGAUGGAUCCGCGCCGCAUUAGCUAGUUGGUAAGGUAACGGCUUACCAAGGCAACGAUGCGUAGCCGACCUGAGAGGGUGAUCGGCCACACUGGAACUGAGACACGGUCCAGACUCCUACGGGAGGCAGCAGUAGGGAAUCUUCUGCAAUGGGCGAAAGCCUGACGGAGCAACGCCGCGUGAGUGAUGAAGGUCUUCGGAUCGUAAAACUCUGUUAUUAGGGAAGAACAAAUGUGUAAGUAACUAUGCACGUCUUGACGGUACCUAAUCAGAAAGCCACGGCUAACUACGUG
rnacentral:rRNA from 1 species